GAACUUUAUGCUUUAAAUGAAAUCUCUAUUUUUCAAAUAGUACAGCAUGCUGUAAAUAAAGGUUUCAUUUUGCUCUACUUUGACAUAUCAAAGGCCAGUUCUCAUUUUAGAAAGUAAAAAAAAGCCCUCAGAUCAAAAAACAGUCCAACAGUUAGGCUUCAGUUAGUAAGAAGGGACUAAGCAGAGGGUAGCAGAUGACAGAAUGCUUUUUUCUUCAGCAAAGGAUUGGGUUUAGACUGCCUGACAGUAACUUCUCUUAUUCUGGGCUGAGUUUCUGGGGUAAGGGGAAUGCUAAGAACCAUACUGUUUUGAAGUCCCCAGGGUGACUUCACAUGCCCGGGCCACUUGCUUUGCCCUUCUUUCGUACUCUUGUUUCAGGACCCAGAGAUUUGCUGGGGACGUUUGUCUGGAAUGCUCUCGGCACAGACUCGCCCUUCACCUUACAUGUCCAUAGCCUAGCAUGGUUGCAGAGGGCAUGUGCCUGUCAUGGCCCCUGCUUUCUGUUCAGAAGUCACUGCUUACUGCUAGUAACACCAGGGGAAGC
rnacentral:lncRNA from 1 species